GAUUAUGGCUCGAGAACGAACGCUGGCGGCGCGUUUAAGCAUGCAAGUCGAGCGGCAAGGGCCUCGGGCCCUAGAGCGGCGGACGGGUGAGUAACACGUGGACAAUCUGCCCCCCGGCCCGGGAUAGCCCAGGGAAACCUGGAUUAAUACCGGAUGAGACGGGACCCGCGAAGGCGGGACCCGGGAAAGGCGCUGCGGCGCCGCCGGGGGAUGAGUCUGCGUCCCAUUAGCUAGACGGCGGGUAACGGCCCACCGUGGCGACGAUGGGUAGCCGGCCUGAGAGGGUGGACGGCCACAUUGGAACUGAGACACGGCCCAAACUCCUACGGGAGGCAGCAGUGGGGAAUAUUGCACAAUGGGCGCAAGCCUGAUGCAGCAACGCCCGCGUGAGUGAAGAAGUAUUUCGGUAUGUAAAGCUCUAUCAGCAGGGAAGAAAGGCUCUUCGGAGAGAUGACGGUACCUGACUAAGAAGCCCCGGCUAACUACGUGCCAGCCGCCGC
rnacentral:rRNA from 1 species